rnacentral:lncRNA from 1 species
AUUGUGUUAGUAGUCUCGUUUUUGUGGAAGUGAUAAUUAUCUGAGAUUGUUUACCAGGAAGCUGAAGACUGAAGAGGCAAAAAGUACAUGCACAGAGGAGCACGAAAACCUCUCCCAAGAUCUGGUAAACUUCAGAAGAUGGCGGUAUUUUUGAAACCAGAACAGCUGAAAGUGGGACACCAUGUCUCAGCUGAAUCCAAACAAUGCCACCCUUUCUUAAUGGUGACUGUGGAUGUAAUCAAGGUCUAUGAAACUGAAAAUCAUGUUGUCAUCAAAAGUUUAAGUCAAAAUGUUAAAGACAAAUUUUCAAGACGUUGUCCUGUAGAAGUGCCAAACAAGAAAGAUUACUGAUAGCAUUCAAAGGUUUUUAGAAAGAAGUUUUUUUCAAGGGAAAAGAUUUGAAUUCUUUGAGGAGCACUUCAAUAAAAAGAUGAGGAAGCAAUUAUAGAAUCUGAUUUUAAGGAAAGAGAAGGAAAGCCUGAAGUACAAGGACUGCUUCAAAAACGACAGCAGAGGGACAGUCUGACAAAAUGGUAUCUGAUGUGGAAGUGCAUAUGGAGCAAAGGUGUAGAAUUAAAUUCCUUCAAGUGGAAAAAAAUUGCGCCCAUUGACACUGCUGAACAUUGGUGGAGACCUAACA